rnacentral:rRNA from 1 species
UCCGUAGGCGGUGUAGCAAGUCGAUAGUGAAAUCUCUGGGCUUAACCCAGAGGCUGCUAACGAAACUGCUGUGCUAGAGUGUGAGAGAGGCGAGUGGAAUUACGGGUGUAGCGGUGAAAUGCGUAGAUAUCCGUAGGAACAUCCGAGGCGAAGGCGGCUCGCUGGAUCACAACUGACGCUGAGGGACGAAAGCUAGGGGAGCAAACA